UUUUAUCUUUAUUAUUUUCUACCUUCUUUUUGGUUUGUGUUUAAUUUUCUCCUUUUUAGUUUCUUAAGGUACAAACUUAGGUAACUAACUUAAGGCUUUUCUUCUUUUCCAAUAUAAGGAUUUAAUGCUCUAAAUUUUCCUCUAAAUGCUGCCCCAGCUUCACAUUUUAUUUUUUACUUUAAUGAUUUUUUUCCAUUUUUCCCUUGUGACUUCCUUUUUUGAUCCAAGGGUUGAUUUCCAGCUAUUUGGGGACUUCCUGAGAUUAUUUUGUAAUUAGUUCUCAUUUCACUUUGUUGUACUCUGAGAACAUACUAGUGUUGUUUCAGUUCUUUUAAAUUGAUUGCAGUUAGUUAUUGUGGCCCAGAAUAUGAUCUAUCUUAAUGUAUGUUCCAUUUGCCAUUGGAGAAAAAAGCAUAUUCUGCUGUUGUUGGGUAGAACAUUUUAUAAAUGUUAGGUGAGGUUUAUUAAUAGAGUUAUUGAGACUUUUGUAUCCUUGCUGGUUUUCUUUCCACUUAUUGCAUUAACCAGUGAGCACAAAGUCUCUGAUUGUAAUUGUGGAUCUGAUUAGUUUUUCAGUCUACCAGUUUUGGCUUCAUGUAUUUUGAAGUUCUGUUGUUUUGUGUAUACACAUUUAAUUCUAUACCUUUUUAGUGAAAUUACUCCUUUUAUUAUUUUUCAGGGGUCCUCUUUUCCUAGGUUAAUUUUCUUGUUUUCGUGUCUACUUUGUUUACUUCUAUUUUUUUAUUUAAAAUUUUUUUUUUUGUACUUGUAGAUGGACAGAAUGCCUUUAUUUUAUUUAUUUUUAUGUGGUGCUGAGGAUCGAACCCAGUGCCUCAUGCAUGCUAGGCAAUCUGCCCCUGAGCUACAGCCCCAGCCCCUGUUUACUUUUAAU
rnacentral:lncRNA from 1 species